rnacentral:rRNA from 1 species
UGGCGACCAGAGCAAGUGGGUACCACCUGAUCCCAUCUCGAACUCAGAAGUGAAACCAUUUAGCGCCUAUGAUAGUGUGGGUUUAUCCAUGCCAAAGUCGGUCAUCGCC